CUCACCAUCAGCUCCUGCCUCAUCUGCUUUGGCUUCACACUGCAGAGCUUCUGUGACAGCUCCCGGGACCGCAACCUCACCAACUGCUCCUCCGUCAUGCUGCCCAGCAACGACGACAGGGCUCCAGCCUGGUUUGAGGACUUUGCCAAUGGACUGCUGUCGGCUCAGAAGCUCACGGCCGCCCUGAUUGUCCUGCACACUGGUGAGAGGGCUCCCUGGGAGGGCGUGGAUGAUGGUGGGAGAGGAGCCCCACUGUGGAAGUCUGACCCCCACAUCGCCCCACUUUCCCCAGUCUUCAUUUCCAUCACCCAUGUGCAUCGCACCAAGCCCCUGUGGAGAAAGAGCCCCUUGACCAACCUCUGGUGGGCCGUGACAGUGCCUGUGGUGUGAGUAUUGCUAGGAUGGAGGGCGGAGUGUGGGCUGGGGAGGAGAGGGCCUUCUGCAGGGCUAGGAUUGGAGGGCGGGACCGGGGCCAGAG
rnacentral:sRNA from 1 species